rnacentral:rRNA from 1 species
UACAGAGGGUGCAAGCGUUAAUCGGAAUUACUGGGCGUAAAGCGUGCGCAGGCGGCUUUGCAAGUCAGAUGUGAAAGCCCCGGGCUCAACCUGGGAAUUGCAUUUGAAACUGGGGAACUAGAGUGUGUGAGAGGGGGGUAGAAUUCCAAGUGUAGCGGUGAAAUGCGUAGAGAUUUGGAGGAAUACCAGUGGCGAAGGCGGCCCCCUGGCACAACACUGACGCUCAGGUGCGAAAGCGUGGGGAGCAAACAGG